rnacentral:rRNA from 1 species
AAAUUGAAGAGUUUGAUCAUGGCUCAGAUUGAACGCUGGCGGCAGGCCUAACACAUGCAAGUCGAACGGUAACAGGAAGCAGCUUGCUGCUUUGCUGACGAGUGGCGGACGGGUGAGUAAUGUCUGGGAAACUGCCUGAUGGAGGGGGAUAACUACUGGAAACGGUAGCUAAUACCGCAUAACGUCGCAAGACCAAAGAGGGGGACCUUCGGGCCUCUUGCCAUCGGAUGUGCCCAGAUGGGAUUAGCUAGUAGGUGGGGUAACGGCUCACCUAGGCGACGAUCCCUAGCUGGUCUGAGAGGAUGACCAGCCACACUGGAACUGAGACACGGUCCAGACUCCUACGGGAGGCAGCAGUGGGGAAUAUUGCACAAUGGGCGCAAGCCUGAUGCAGCCAUGCCGCGUGUAUGAAGAAGGCCUUCGGGUUGUAAAGUACUUUCAGCGGGGAGGAAGGGAGUAAAGU